rnacentral:rRNA from 1 species
GACGAACGCUGGCGGCGUGCCUAAUACAUGCAAGUAGAACGCUGAAGGAGGAGCUUGCUUCUCUGGAUGAGUUGCGAACGGGUGAGUAACGCGUAGGUAACCUGCCUGGUAGCGGGGGAUAACUAUUGGAAACGAUAGCUAAUACCGCAUAAUAGUAGAUGUUGCAUGACAUUUGCUUAAAAGGUGCAAUUGCAUCACUACCAGAUGGACCUGCGUUGUAUUAGCUAGUUGGUGGGGUAACGGCUCACCAAGGCGACGAUACAUAGCCGACCUGAGAGGGUGAUCGGCCACACUGGGACUGAGACACGGCCCAGACUCCUACGGGAGGCAGCAGUAGGGAAUCUUCGGCAAUGGACGGAAGUCUGACCGAGCAACGCCGCGUGAGUGAAGAAGGUUUUCGGAUUCGUAAAGCUUCUGUUGUAAGAGAUAGAACGAGUGUGAGAGUGG